UGGGGAAUAUUGCACAAUGGAGGGAACUCUGAUGCAGCGACGCCGCGUGAGUGAUGAAGGAAUUCGUUUCGUAAAACUCUGUUCUAUGGGAAGAAAAGGACUGUACCAUAGGAGAAAGCUCCGGCUAAAUACGUGCCAGCAGCCGCGGUAAUACGUAUGGAGCGAGCGUUGUCCGGAAUUAUUGGGCGUAAAGGGUGCGCAGGCGGCUUUACAAGUUGGAUGUGAAAUAUUGUGGCUCAACCACAAACGUGCAUCCAAAACUGCAAAGCUUGAGUUAAGGAGAGGUAAGUGGAAGUCCGGGUGUAGCGGUGGAAUGCGUAGAAAUCAGGAGGAAUACCGGUGGCGAAGGCGACUUACUGGACUUAAACUGACGCUAAGGCACGAAAGCGGGGGGAGCAAACAGG
rnacentral:rRNA from 1 species